CACAGCUCAGACGGCUGGGCUCUCAGAGGAGCCACCUGAGGGUGGGACUAAUCAGAUGUCCCAGGUUCCGGCACCUGGGGGAGGGGAAGCGCGGUCAGGGGCGUCAUUCCACGUUUACCUAAUACUGCUAUGUCCCUCGGUUGAGAAGGGUGUACUGGAGGUCAGCAACUGCAGUGGGGAUAUGACUUGAUCCUUGGAGAACCGGAUGGUGAGCAACAGUCUUUGCUUUGCACGCUCAGUGGGGUGAAGAAAAUGAGAGGCAAAACAGGUUAAGGGAAAAGAACAAAAAAUGAAAAGAGGA